ACUCGAAUAGUCAAGUGGUCAAGACACCUUGCAAUUAUAGAUAUGCCCACACGAUUUGAUCUUUCAAGGAGGCGGGGGUUCGAAUCCUCCUUUGAGUG